GAUGAACGCUAGCGGCAGGCUUAAUACAUGCAAGUCGAGGGGCAGCAUGAUUGUAGCAAUACAAUUGAUGGCGACCGGCAAACGGGUGCGGAACACGUACACAACCUCCCAAUAAGUGGGGAAUAGCCCAGAGAAAUUUGGAUUAAUACCCCGUAACAUAACGAUGUGGCAUCACAUUGUUAUUAUAGAUUUUUCGCUUAUUGAUGGGUGUGCGGCUGAUUAGAUAGUUGGCGGGGUAACGGCCCACCAAGUCUACGAUCAGUAGCUGAUGUGAGAGCAUGAUCAGCCACACGGGAACUGAGACACGGGCCUGACUCCUACGGGAGGCAGCAGUAAGGAAUAUUGGACAAUGGACGCAAGUCUGAUCCAGCCAUGCCGCGUGAAGGAUUAAGGUCCUCUGGAUUGUAAACUUCUUUUAUAAGGGACGAAAAAAGGCUUUUCUAAGUCGUCUGACGGUACCUUAUGAAUAAGCACCGGCUAACUCCGUGCCAGCCGCCGCGGUAACAC
rnacentral:rRNA from 1 species